GUAGGUGAACCUGCGGAAGGAUCAUUGUCGAAACCUGCAAAAGCAAACCGCGAACACGUUCAAAACAACACCGGGGCCGCGGAGGGGGGGCAACCCCCCGCCGCGGUGCCGACCCCGCCCGGCGCGCGAGUGCCGUGCGGGCUAACGAACUCGGGCGCGGAAUGCGCCAAGGAAAACGCAAUGGAGCGUUCCCCUCCCCUUCCCGCCCCGUCCGCGGGGCGAGGGGGAGCAAGGGACGCCUAUGGAAUGUCUAAACGACUCCCGGCAACGGAUAUCUCGGCUCUCGCAUCGAUGAAGAACGUAGCGAAAUGCGAUACUUGGUGUGAAUUGCAGAAUCCCGUGAACCAUCGAGUCUUUGAACGCAAGUUGCGCCCGAAGCCAUUAGGCCGAGGGCACGCCUGCCUGGGCGUCACGCAUCGCGUCGCCCCCACUCCCCCGCGGGGGAUCGGGGGCGGAGAUUGGCCCCCCGUGAGCGCAGCUGCGCGCGCGGCCGGCCCAAAUGCGAAUCCGCCGUCGACGCACGUCGCGACCAGUGGUGGUUGAACCCUCAACUCGCGUGCUGUCGCGCCCCGAUGCGUCGUCGGUUCGGAGAAAAAGAACCCAACGGCGCGAGCACACGCAUCGUGCCCACGACCGCGACCCCAGGUCAGGCGGGAUCACCC
rnacentral:rRNA from 1 species